rnacentral:lncRNA from 1 species
AAACUUGGGGCUACCUCUACCAACUCAAUCAUGGGCGAAGGCACAUGUUGUAAAGGGUGGUCAACAGAUCAUCUUUCGCCGGAAAAUUACACUAUGUAUACAGGUAAAAUAUGAUAUUUUAGAGGUAUGUAACAUAAAUUAAACACUUUUUUUUUACUUCUUUCAAGUUUGAACACCCUUAAGUAAAUUUCUAAUUUCGCCACUGAACUCAACUGUCCCAACCAAUCUAGAUGGACACAUUCAGAAAUGAUCCUUAUUCCCCAAACCAACCGACAUUAACAUUGAUAAUAGUACCAAGAACUCUGGACACCAACAAACCACAUUU